rnacentral:rRNA from 1 species
UGGGGAAUCUUGGACAAUGGGGGCAACCCUGAUCCAGCCAUGCCGCGUGAGUGAUGAAGGCCUUAGGGUCGUAAAGCUCUUUCGCCUGUGAAGAUAAUGACGGUAGCAGGUAAAGAAACCCCGGCUAACUCCGUGCCAGCAGCCGCGGUAAUACGGAGGGGGUUAGCGUUGUUCGGAAUUACUGGGCGUAAAGCGCACGUAGGCGGACUAGCAAGUUAGAGGUGAAAUCCCGGGGCUCAACCCCGGAACUGCCUCCAAAACUAUUGGUCUAGAGUUCGAGAGAGGUGAGUGGAAUUCCAAGUGUAGAGGUGAAAUUUCGUAGAUAUUUGGAGGAACACCAGUGGCGAAGGCGGCUCACUGGCUCGAUACUGACGCUGAGGGUGCGAAAGUGUGGGGAGCAAACAGGAUUUAGAUACCCUGGUAGUCCACACCGUAAAACGAUGAAUGCCAGUCGUCGGGUAGCAUGCUAUUCGGUGACACACCUAACGGAUUAAGCAUUCCGCCUGGGGAGUACGGUCGC